CAAUAGCAUAUAUUAACGUUGUUGCAGUUGAAAAGCUCGUAGUUGAACUUUUGGUAGGAGCGACCUGGCCUUGGGCGCAUGCCCUUGUUUGCCGUGUGUCGUGUCUGGCCAUCCUUUUCCGCUUCGGCGGGAAUCUUUUACUGUGAGUAAACUGGAGUGCUCAAAACAAGACGUUUGUUUGGUACAUUAAAGCAUGGAAUAAUAAGAUAGGACCUGGUUACUAUUUUGUUGGUUUGCAUAGCUAGGUAAUGAUUAACAGGGACGGUUGGGGGUAUUCGUAUUUAAUUGUCAGAGGUGAAAUUCUUGGAUUUAUGAAAGACGAACGACUGCGAAAGCAUUUACCAAGGAUGUUUUCAUUAA
rnacentral:rRNA from 1 species